rnacentral:rRNA from 1 species
AAGAAAGUAAGCAAGGGCGCAUGGCGGAUGCCUUGGCUCUCGGAGGCGAUGAAGGACGUGAUAAGCUGCGAUAAGCUUUGGGGAGGUGCAAAUGACCUUUGAUCCAAAGAUUUCCGAAUGGGACAACCCAGUAUCUUGAAGGGAUACUAUCCUACUUUGUAGGAGGCUAACGCAGGGAACUGAAACAUCUUAGUACCUGCAGGAAAAGAAAAUAACAAUGAUUCCCCCAGUAGUGGCGAGCGAACGGGGAAUAGCCCAAACCAUGUCUGUUACGGCAGGCAUGGGGUUGUAGGACCACGACGUUGCAUGAAAGCAUUGGAGAAGAAUUUGCUGGAAAGCAAAGCCACAGAGCAUGAAAGCUGCGUAUUCGAACAAUGCCGAAGCAUAGUGGUAUCCUGAGUAGCGCGGAGCACGAGGAAUUCUGCGUGAAUCUGCCGGGACCAUCCGGUAAGGCUAAAUACUCCCGAGAGACCGAUAGUGAACCAGUACCGUGAGGGAAAGGUGAAAAGCACUUCGAACAGAAGAGUGAAACAGUACCUGAAACCGUGCGCCUACAAGCGGUCGGAGCUUCUUCGGAAGUGACGGCGUGCCUUUUGCAUAAUGAACCUACGAGUUACCGUUGCCGGCAAGGUUAAGUGCAUGAUGGUUCACGGAGCCGAAGCGAAAGCGAGUCUGAAGAGGGCGCAUAGUCGGUAGUGGUAGACGCGAAACCAAGUGAUCUACCCUUGACCAGGUUGAAGGCUGGGUAACACCAGCUGGAGGACCGAACCAAUAAGCGUUGAAAAGCUUCUGGAUGAGUUGAGGGUAGGGGUGAAAGGCUAAUCAAACUUGGAGAUAGCUCGUACUCCCCGAAAUGCAUUUAGGUGCAGCCUCGGGGGUUACUGAUGUGAGGUAGAGCGACUGAUAAGAUGCGAGGGCUUCACCGCCUAUCAAGUCUUGACAAACUCCGAAUGCGCAUCAGUCUUACCCCGGGAGUGAGGGCAUGGGUGCUAAGGUCCGUGCCCGAGAGGAGAACAAUCCGGACCACCGGCUAAGGUCCCGAAAUGACAGCUAAGUUAAACUAACGAAGUCAGAUUGCUAAGACAGCUAGGAUGUUGGCUUGGAAGCAGCCAUUCAUUUAAAGAGUGCGUAACAGCUCACUAGUCGAGGAGUUUGGCGUGGAUAAUAAUCGGGUAUCAAGUUGUCUACCGAAGCCGUGGAAU